AGGAUAAACGCUGGCGGCGUGCCUUACGCAUGCAAGUCGAACGGGGUCCUUCGGGGCCCAGUGGCGGACGGGUGAGUAACACGUACGUGACCUGACGCGAAGUGGGGGAUACCCGUCCGAAAGGGCGGCUAAUACCGCAUGUGGUCAUACGGGCUGCCGUAUGAGUAAAGGGAGCAAUCCCGCUUGGUGAGGGGCGUGCGGCCGAUUAGCUAGUUGGCGGGGUAAUGGCCCACCAAGACGAUGAUCGGUAUCCGGCCUGAGAGGGCGCACGGACACACUGGAACUGAAACACGGUCCAGACUCCUACGGGAGGCAGCAGUGGGGAAUUUUGCGCAAUGGGGGAAACCCUGACGCAGCAACGCCGCGUGGAGGAUGAAGUCCCUCGGGACGUAAACUCCUUUCGAUCGGGACGAUUAUGACGGUACCGGAAGAAGAAGCCCCGGCUAACUUCGUGCCAGCAGCCGCGGUAAUACGAGGGGGGCGAGCGUUGUUCGGAAUUAUUGGGCGUAAAGGGUGCGUAGGCGGUUUGGUAAGUCUUGUGUGAAAUCUCCAGGCUCAACUUGGAGUCUGCACGAGAAACUGCCGGGCUUGAGUGUGGGAGAGGUGAGUGGAAUUCCUGGUGUAGCGGUGAAAUGCGUAGAUAUCAGGAGGAACACCUGUGGCGAAAGCGGCUCACUGGACCACAACUGACGCUGAUGCACGAAAGCUAGGGGAGCAAACAGGAUUAGAUACCCUGGUAGUCCUAGCCCUAAACGAUGACUGCUUGGUGUGACGGGUACCCAAUCCCGCCGUGCCGUAGCUAACGCGUUAAGCAGUCCGCCUGGGGAGUACGGUCGCAAGGCUGAA
rnacentral:rRNA from 1 species